AACAAACUCAUUAUCUUGUCAAACUACCACUUUCAGAGUGUUUUUCUUUUUGUGUUGCUUCCAGUCCAGCAAAUACGAAGCUAGAAUGCCUUACGAGCGCCGCGCUGCGGGCCACACUUCCAGAGGAAAUCAGUCCGGUGGGAACUUCGCGGAGGCGAUAAAACGUCUGUCUUGAGAUUCACACAGUCGCAUACAGAAUGGGAUGGUUUCUCGGGUCCUUUUCGUGGCUGUCGAUUGCAAUGUCCCCUUCAACAGUGGCUGCUCCAUCAUUGCCCUUUUAACGAGGUGAUAUCCCGACACAUGGGAGCAGAUGUUGCAAAGAAAACACAUUUUGACGUGAUUGUGAUCGAUGCUCACCUCCUACCAUAUCCACCGCAUAAUUUGGCGGAUGGCAUCAGGAUAACAACCUGCAUUAUGUGGAGACAGCUGUCGCCAUGGCGCCCGGGCAGUCAUGGCAUUGGCUCCUGCCUCCUUUUAGGCAGAGGCGGGGAAGCCAAUUAGAGUGAUUUACAACUUGUUUGUGUCGUCACAACCUUGGAACCUGUUUCUUGGUCCAGCUGAAGAAAAAUACAUGGCCACCUUGUUUGUAAUAAGGAUACAUUUUUUUGCUAUAAAUGUAAUGUGGAUCUGAGACGUUUUUUGUUCUUUAUUUAAAGGAAAUUGUUUAGGAGAUGUAAGGACUGUAUUGCUGUCUGCUGUCAUUUAUGAAAUAUGUUCCUGUCUGAUGAUAUCUACCCUUUGUAUUCAGUCUUAACUGCAAUGUUUUGUGAUUAUGUUCGACAAUGUGUUCAUAUCGGUGAGUCUUCUCUAUUUAUGUCAAAUGUAAAUGAAAACAGAAAAACAUCUGCGCAACAUCAAAAUAAACAUUUUUACAGCUGUUUUGUCACAUUUUCUUUUCUAUGGGUCCUGCAUGAUGCACCAUAACCAUGAAUAGUACGUAUGUCUCUUUG
ensembl:lncRNA